AAGGGAGAGAGACCCCUCAUGGCAACCCUCAGCUACAAAUAUUCCCCUUCAUUUUCUUGGAUUUGUUCUCCACCUUAUCAGUAAAAGUAAGAAAGGCAGGUUGCAAAUAAAUAACUAUACUCUCUCCAUGUGACUCUCUCAAGUGUGUUUCUCAGCAGCAUCAACUAUUUGAUCCAGGACAAUUCUUGUUCCUAGGUAGAAGAACUAGGAAUUCCUGCACAAAAGCUGAGCAGCUCCAGUUAAAGAGGACUGGAGGCUCCGAAUCUCCUGCCAACGGUUCCUGCUGAACUCGUUCAAGGGAGACAGGAUUUUGUCCUGGAUUGCUAUAUUGCUUUGAAAUUCAGAAAAAGUUGCCUCACCUAAGCAGAAAUAAUGGAGGGAGCUCACCUGGGAUGAUGGAAAAAAGCACAAAACAACAUGACAACCACAAAGGGUGUGAUGGGAAGUUUAUCCAGAGCUACAUUAAUGAGUGGAGCUUCCGUGUCAUCAUAUUCAACAUGUAUCAUCAUUUUUUUAGUACAUAAUUAUCUUUCUUCUUACAUUUGAAUUUAAUGUAUUGUGAAUUUAAUGUAUGAAAUAAAUAUAUUUCCCCCAUA